rnacentral:rRNA from 2 species
AGCCUGAUGCGCCAUGCCGCGUGUGUGAAGAAGGCCUUCGGGUUGUAAAGCACUUUCAGUCGUGAGGAAGGUAGUGUAGUUAAUAGCUGCAUUAUUUGACGUUAGCGACAGAAGAAGCACCGGCUAACUCCGUGCCAGCAGCCGCGGUAAUACGGAGGGUGCGAGCGUUAAUCGGAAUUACUGGGCGUAAAGCGCAUGCAGGUGGUUUGUUAAGUCAGAUGUGAAAGCCCGGGGCUCAACCUCGGAAUAGCAUUUGAAACUGGCAGACUAGAGUACUGUAGAGGGGGGUAGAAUUUCAGGUGUAGCGGUGAAAUGCGUAGAGAUCUGAAGGAAUACCGGUGGCGAAGGCGGCCCCCUGGACAGAUACUGACACUCAGAUGCGAAAGCGUGGGGAGCAAACAGGAUUAGAUACCCUGGUAGUCCACGCCGUAAACGAUGUCUACUUGGAGGUUGUGGCCUUGAGCCGUGGCUUUCGGAGCUAACGCGUUAAGUAGACCGCCUGGGGAGUACGGUCGCAAGAUUAAAACUCAAAUGAAUUGACGGGGGCCCGCACAAGCGGUGGAGCAUGUGGUUUAAUUCGAUGCAACGCGAAGAACCUUACCUACUCUUGACAUCCAGAGAACUUUCCAGAGAUGGAUUGGUGCCUUCGGGAACUCUGAGACAGGUGCUGCAUGGCUGUCGUCAGCUCGUGUUGUGAAAUGUUGGGUUAAGUCCCGCAACGAGCGCAACCCUUAUCCUUGUUUGCCAGCGAGUAAUGUCGGGAACUCCAGGGAGACUGCCGGUGAUAAACCGGAGGAAGGUGGGGACGACGUCAAGUCAUCAUGGCCCUUACGAGUAGGGCUACACACGUGCUACAAUGGCGCAUACAGAGGGCGGCCAACUUGCGAAAGUGAGCGAAUCCCAAAAAGUGCGUCGUAGUCCGGAUUGGAGUCUGCAACUCGACUCCAUGAAGUCGGAAUCGCUAGUAAUCGUGGAUCAGAAUGCCACGGUGAAUACGUUCCCGGGCCUUGUACACACCGCCCGUCACACCAUGGGGAGUGGGCUGCAAAAGAAGUAGGUAGUUUAACCUUCCGGGGGGACGCUUACCACUUUGUGGUUCAUGACUGGGGUGAUCGU